rnacentral:lncRNA from 1 species
GAACAGUAUGAAACAACAAAUGAUUCAGUACUAAACUGUGUGCUACAGACCACAAAUGACAUAUCAUCAAUGAUAUCUUUUUUUUUUUUGAGGAAGAUUAGCCCUGAGCUAACAUCUAGCGCCAAUCCUCCUCGUUUUUGCUGAGGAAGACUGGCGCUGAGCUAACAUCCGCACCCAUCUUCCUCUACUUUAUAUGUAGGACACCUGCCACAGCAUGGCUUGACAAGCAGUGAUUGGGUCUGCACCCGGGGUCUGAACCGGUGAACCCCAGGCCUCUGAAAUGGGACAUGCGAACUUAACAGCUGUGCCACCGGACCAGCCCCAACAAUAUCUUCUGAGUGCCAAUACAUGCAGGAAACUAAGAGAGAUUUGAGAGGAACCAAGAGUGGAGAGCUCUCUAGGGCACAACAAGGCGGCAGCAAGGAAGAGGAGGCGCUCAGAGGGGGCUCCAGGAUGAGGCAAGACGGGGAGGGCUGUGGAAUUGUUUUCUGUUGGAAAUGCUCACAGCCUGGCCUUCAAGCUGAAUGCAAAUAAGAACUGCAGGAAUGAACCAUUCUGCUCUGGGCCAUAGUUCACGCUUUCCUCCCACUCUCUUUUGUUCCGCAUUCGUGAAGAUCCUCUUGCAAUCAAGUCGAGACACAGUUUUCAGUUACAGAGAAGAGUAAAACUUGGGCUGAAGAAAAAUCAGUGGAAUUUGUUGCUUCGAUAUACAAAGAUAAAUACUACUUUGUUGUUUUCUUCUCCCUCUCUUUAUUUCCAUAACCAUAAAUUAAUUUUGCCUGUUUGUAAAAUUUUGUGAAAAUGGAAUCACAUACUGUGCAUUAUUUUGUGUCAGCUUAUUUGCUUAAAAUUUUGUUCAAGAAUUAUCCGGUUUUUGGAUAUAGCAGCAGUUCCAGCAUUUAUGCUUCCUAAUAGUAUUAUGUUGUAUGAGUGUACCACAAUUUAUACACACGUGCACACACACACCCUCUCUGUUUACUUAGGGUGUAAGUAAACUAUAAUAGCAUUUAACUUAAAUAUAUAAAACAAUUUUCAUGUUAACCAAAAGAAGGUGAAGUUAACUCUGCCAAUUUUUAAAAUGAGUGUUGUGUGUUGCAGAAUAUCUGCUAACUUGGGUGUUUCAUAAUCAGAUUGGGCAAUGGAUUCUAUCAAAAAGGGUUUUCUUUCCAUGUUUCAGUGUGUAAAAGAAGGAAAGAUAUAGAGGAGUUAGGCUGCCGUUAGGUAAAAAUCCUAUUUGCAUCUGUUUCUUGGUGGCUACUUCACGACGGUUGUCCCUCUUUUGUCCUGUACACCUUAGCUGUAUACGCAAAGUUUGGGGGAGAUCUAAUAUAUGUUAAAAAUAACAUAACACACAAAUAGAAAAAUAGUAUGCCAAGCAACUGUUUGCCUUGGGAACAAAUGUAAGAUAUUCAUUUAUCACUGAUAAAUGAUAAAUGCUUCAAAAAACGUUGAAACUACUACCUAAAGGGUAGCAUCAUUUGACUGCCAAAUGUCCAG